rnacentral:rRNA from 1 species
AUGGAUUCAGCGUUGCUGCCCAGAAUUCAAGUGACACCACAACAACUGUCCAAAGAAAUCUCUGUAACAGUGGCCAAUGGAGAGAAACUGUUGUGUAAUUCUGAAGUGCCCCAGCUCAACUGGUGGAUCCAGGGACACACAUUUGAGUAUGAUUUUAAAGUUCUUGAUUUGGGAGGUUAUGAUCUCAUUUUGGGCAUGGACUGGUUGGAAGCUCAAGGGGAAAUGACAUGUCACUGGAGAAACAAAUGGAUCCAGUUCAGUCACAAGGAUAGUCUGGUUAAGCUGCAAGGAAUUCUUCCACAGUCUACAGAGGACAUCAAGGAGGUCACUCUAGAACAAACUAUGAAAUGGCACAAAGGCAAUGAUAUUUGGGCAGUGGCACUGACACAACCAGUAUGGGACAAAAAGCCUGACCCUGUUCCUGAUCCAGUACAACCCUUGUUACAGGAGUUCGCAGAUGUCUUCAGAGAACCUACGGAGCUACCACCCUCUCGAACUUUGAACCAUGCAAUACACUUGUUACCAGGGGCCGUUCCUGUCAACUCCAAACCUUACAGAUACUCACCACUGCAAAAAGAUGAGAUUGAAAGGCAAGUUGCAGAAAUGCUUAAAGCUGGUACUAUCACUCCCAGUCUCAGCUCUUUUGCUUCUCCUGUCCUAUUGGUAAAAAAGAAAGAUGGAUCUUGGAGAUUUUGUGUAGAUUAUAGGAAGCUAAAUUCCAUCACUGUGAAGAGCAAGUUCCCAAUGCCAGUGGUAGAUGAGCUUUUGGAUGAGCUUAGUGGCACUAAGUGGUUCUCCAAGUUAGAUCUCAGGUCAGGAUAUCAUCAAAUCAGAAUGUUACCGGAGGAUGAACACAAAACAGCUUUCAAAACUCACAGUGGACAGUAUCAAUUUAGGGUGAUGCCCUUUGGUCUUACUAAUGCCCCCUCCACUUUUCAAUGCAUCAUGAAUUGA